GAUGAAGAACGCAGCGAAAUGCGAUAAGUAAUGUGAAUUGCAGAAUUCAGUGAAUCAUCGAAUCUUUGAACGCACAUUGCGCCCGCCAGUAUUCUGGCGGGCAUGCCUGUUCGAGCGUCAUUACAACCCUCAGGCCCCCGGGCCUGGCGUUGGGGAUCGGCGGAAGCCCCCUGCGGGCACAACGCCGUCCCCCAAAUACAGUGGCGGUCCCGCCGCAGCUUCCAUUGCGUAGUAGCUAACACCUCGCAACUGGAGAGCGGCGCGGCCACGCCGUAAAACACCCAACUUCUGAAUGUUGACCUCGAAUCAGGUAGGACUACCCGCUGAACUUAAGCAUAUCAAUAAGCGGAGGA
rnacentral:misc_RNA from 1 species